rnacentral:rRNA from 1 species
GACGAACGCUGGCGGCGUGCUUAACACAUGCAAGUCGAACGGAAAGGCCCUGCUUGUGUGGGGUGCUCGAGUGGCGAACGGGUGAGUAACACGUGAGUAACCUGCCCUUGACUUUGGGAUAACUUCAGGAAACUGGGGCUAAUACCGGAUAGGAGCCCCUGCUGCAUGGUGGGGGUGGGAAAGUUUCGGCGGUUGGGGAUGGACUCGCGGUUUAUCAGCUUGUUGGUGGGGUAGUGGCUUACCAAGGCUUUGGCGGGUAGCCGGCCUGAGAGGGUGACCGGCCACAUUGGGACUGAGAUACGGCCCAGACUCCUACGGGAGGAAGCAGUGGGGAAUAUUGCACAAUGGGCGGAAGCCUGAUGCAGCAACGCCGCGUGCGGGAUGACGGCCUUCGGGUUGUAACCCGCUUUCGCCUGUGACGAAGCGUGAGUGACGGUAAUGGGUAAAGAAGCACCGGCUAACUACGUG